rnacentral:lncRNA from 1 species
UUAAGACUCACCCAGAAGGAAACAGUGACCAUUGUCACAGACUGAUUCCCUAGUACUGUGAAAUCAGGGCCAUGCCUGCCUUGCUCAGGGUCCGGUACACAUUCAUGUUCACCACAGCACACAGCCAAGCUUGCUGGCAUCUCCAACAGCUCACAGUUCCUCAGGGCAGUGCAGAUGAAGGUGCCCCAUGCCCAGGUAUCAGGGGCUUCACCAGGACACCUGCUGCAGCUGACAUUUGUCCCUUCUUCCACCCUCUGGCUUUGGUAGGUUGUGGAGGACAGCUUGGUACCGAGUUUCAUAGAUCUCCUGUUAAUUUUUCAUCGUCGGAGUUGAUGUCUGUCUAAAAACAAAAAACCUAAUUUAAAAAAAUGGUUCAAGAGGCUAGGCGCGGUGGCUCACUCCUGUAAUCCCUGCACUUUGGGAGGCUCAGGCAGGUGGAUCACCUGAGGUCUGCAGUUCGAGAGCAGCCUGGCCAACAUGGUGAAAACCCGUCUCUACUAAAAUACAAAAAUUAGCUGGGCAUGGUGGCAGGCGCCUGUAAUCCCAGCUACACAGGAGGCUGAGGUAGGAGAAUUGCUUGAACCCAGGAGGCGGAGGUUAUAAUGAGCCAAGAUCAUGCCACUGCACUCCAGCCUGGGUGACAGAGCAAGACAUCAUUUCAAAAAAAAAAGGACCAAGAAUGUGAGCAGACAUUUCUCAAAAGAAGCUAUACUAAUGGUCAACAGCAAUAUAAAAAAAGUGCUCAAUAUCACAAAGUUCCAGCCCACACCUGUUUGAGAUGACCCCAGUCUCAGUCACCACCUGACUGCGAUGUCGUGAGAGACCCUGAGGCAGAACUGCCCUCAGUCUUUGAGAGGUGUGAGAGUGUAAGAGGGGCCUGUGUGCGGUCUCUAAAAUGAUUUAGAGCUUACUUUUUGCUUUUUUGGCUAGGGUGGGUGGCAGUGAGAGUGUCUGGCAACUUCCUGAAUCAGAACGAAAGUCCAAGAUUUAGUUUCCUCUUUUUUGUUUGAGGGUAGAAUAAUGUAUGGAGAUAUUCACCUUUCUUCUUUUCUUUUUUCACUGAAUUUUCCCCCAUCAUGCGGGUGGCAGUUGCUUCAGAGGAGGGAUGCCUAAGGCAGGGCCUGGAAACCAGAAAUAGCCUGCAGAUCUCCCAGGCUUUUGUGUCCUAAACCCUAGACUUCUAGGAGCUCAAAGAGCAAACCCAAACUUCCUAACAAGGCUUAGGAGGCCCUUUAUAAUCUCAACUCCCUUAGCCCUCCCAUUUCUUCUCUUCUUACUCCUUCUAGAUAUAGGAUCAUGUCAUCUGCAAACAGGGAUAGUUUGACUUCAUCUCUUCCUAUUUGGAUACCCUUUAUUUCUCACUGUUGCCUGAUUACCCUUGCCGAAAUUCCAAUACUGUGUAGGUUAGUAAAAUUGUUCCAAAUCCAAUGAUUAUUUUUCUUACUGUGUGAGAAUUCACAAAUUUCUGGCAAAUAGUUUCCCCUUAAGACAGCAACUGUGUAAGAUGUAGAGUAUGAGUGCUUAGAAGGAUCUGUUCAAGGAAGCAAAAGUAUAUAGAAAGUAGGAUAGGUGCAGUAGGCUGGUCCAGGGUUCUAUGGUUAGGUCAUGCAAGAUAAGUGUUUUAUUUUUUUUUCUUUGCCUCCAUUUCAGGCGCGCACACACACACACAAACACCAUAGACAAUACCAGGUGUUGAUGAGGACACAGAGCAUCUGAAACUCUCAUCCUAUGAUGGUGGGAGCAUAAAAUGGUCUAACCAUUUUGGAAACUGGUAGUUUACUAAAGUUUAGUAUAUGGAUACCCUAUAAUCCAGCAAUUCUACUUCUAGGUAUGUACCCAAGAGAACACACAUAUGCAAUAUAAGACGUGCACAAGAAUCUUCGUAGCAGAGCUUUUCUUAAAAGCCUCACUCUGGAGAUAUUCCAAAUGUUUUUUAACGAUGAAAUGGAUAGUGGCAUAUUUAUACAAUAGAACUACACGCAGCAAUGAGAAAAUAUGAACAACUAUGACAUGCAGCAGUAUGACUAUAUCUUACAAACAUAAUAUUCAGUGAAAGAAGCCAGACAGAACAGAGUAUAUCAUGGAGAAUUUUAUUCAUACAAAAUUCAAAAACAAAUUUACAGUUUACCCUUAAACAACACAGGUUUGAACUGCAUGGGUCAACUUAUACAAUAGAUUUUUUUUUCAAACAAAUGCAGAUAAAAAUACGGUAUUCCUGGGAUGCCAACCCCAUGUGUACAGAAGGUCAACUUUUUGUAUAGGUGUGUUCUGCAAAGCUGACUGCAGGACUUGGGUACAUGUGGAGUUUGAUAUUCCCUGGAGUCCUGGAGCCAAUUCCCUGCAUAUACUGAUGAUGGAAAGUAUUUUGUUAAGAAGUCAGAAUAGUGCUUAUCCUUGGGGAAAUGACAGUGGUGGGUGAAUAGAGCUCUAGUCAUGUUUUCUUACUUGGUUUGGAGUACAUUUUUAUGGGAUACAUGUGACAUUUCGAUACAAGUAUAGCAUGUGUAAUGAUCAAGUCAGGGUAUUUAGGUUGUACAUCUCCUCAAACAUUGAUACUCUUUUCUUAACUCUUUAAUGAGAAUAUUUCAUUGCUUUUCUAUUGAGUUUGAGUUGCUUUUAUAUCCUGAAUGUUACUGCCUUGUGGGUUUAAUUGUUUGCAAAUAUUUUCUCCCAUUCAACAGGUGUUUUCCUUACCAAUUGUUUCCUUUGUGGUGUUGAAACUUUUUAGUUUAAUAUAGUCCCAUUUGUCUACUUUUGUUUUUGUUGUCCAUGCUUUUGAGGUCUUAGCCAUAAAAUCUUUGCCUAGACCAAUGUUCUGCUGUGUUUCUUCUAUGUUUCCUUCUAGUAGCUUUAUAAUUUUGGGUCUUGCACUUAAGUCUUUAAUUAAUUUUGAGUGGACAUUUUUAAUACACUGAGAAAUAGGGAUCUAGUUUCAUUCUUCUGUGUAUGGAUAUCCAGUUUUUCCAGUACCAUUUAUUAGAGAGGGUGUUCUUUUUCCAAUGUAUGAUCUUGGUACCUUACUCAAAAAUCAGU